rnacentral:rRNA from 1 species
UGAGUAACCUGCCCUUCACUCUGGGAUAACUCCGGGGAACCGGGGCUAAUACUGGAUAUGACUCGAACAGGCAUCUGUUUCGGGUGGAAAGAUUUAUUGGUGGAGGAUGGACUCGCGGCCUAUCAGCUUGUUGGUGAGGUAAUGGCUCACCAAGGCGACGACGGGUAGCCGGCCUGAGAGGGUGAUCGGGCCACACUUGGGACUGAGACACGGCCAGACUCCGUACGGGAGCA